UACGGAGGGUGCAAGCGUUAUCCGGAUUCACUGGGUUUAAAGGGUGCGUAGGUGGGCAAGUAAGUCAGUGGUGAAAUCUCCGGGCUUAACCCGGAAACUGCCAUUGAUACUAUUUGUCUUGAAUCUUGUUGAGGUGGGCGGAACGGGUCAUGUAGCGGUGAAAUGCAUAGAUAUGACCCGGAACACCGAUUGCGAAGGCAGCCCGCUAAGCAAGCAUUGACGCUGAGGCACGAAAGCGUGGGGAUCAAACAGG
rnacentral:rRNA from 1 species